UCACUCUCCCUCCCCAAGGCAUUGUCUCCUACACAAGCCCCUUUUCUUUCCGUGUUGCACAGGAUUCUGACAUGGAGGAGCUGAAAGGGGGACAGGAGGUGGCUGCACGGGAGUGUCCCCGGAUUCAUUGGAAAAAAUCUGGUAACCUUAUAAUCUAAAUGCCUGCCAGUGUGCACAUGAAUUCCUCCAGAGGAAUACCAUCCGUUAAGAGUCACCCCUUCCAUCUCCACAGCACAUUGUUUCUUCUGCAACGUUUGCCAGACCGUUAUGUUAAAACCAUCCACCAGAGGGACACAACCAUAAGGUACAAAGGUAGCACAAGGAGAAUCCUGAAGGAAAACAAAAUGACAAUGGAAGAAUGAUAAGUUGCUCACAGAUGGGUCUCCUCCCAAGUACUCCAGCCUUUGCAGCUUGCCUUGGUGGAAGGAAAGCAACUCCUGAUUUCUUGCCAGCAGAACAUCACAUCUCAUAACACGAUGUCUUGGUACAAACAGGCACCAGAGGCUCAGGGGGCUGUGGCUAC